UUGAAGACAAAGGCAAGACCAAGUGUAAUAACGAAGAAGGAGACAUGUAUAUAUAAAUAUUGUAUUUCGUAUCUUGUUAAAAGGUGUAAAUAAAUACUUUAGUUCUAAACACGAUGACAAAUCUAUUGCAAGUUGAUAUGUCAUAAGAAUUAGUUUAUAUAUCACCAAAAUUCAGCCAUUAUGAUUAUACUUUGAACAUGGUUUGUUUUUAGAGCAAUGGAUGAAUAUGGUUUUGCA
rnacentral:lncRNA from 1 species